UCUGAUCAUAGCCAGAUAAUUUUUGUCAGUAGGUUGUUUCAUUAUAGAUAAUGCCAAGAAAUUUUAGAUAUCUUAAGUUUAUUAAUAGCUUGAUAGUUCUGAUAUUAGUUCAAACUUAGAAUGUCCUGACAUAGAUCUCAUAUUUUUUUUAAAUUUAAUAUUGUUACUUGGACUGAUAUAGAAGAUUAAGGUUUUCUUAAGAUGAGAGUCUACAUAUAAAAUUUGUUGGAAGAUCAAGAGAAGAAAGAAAUCGAUGAUUGUGAAGAGUGUCUGAUGUUUGACCUUUAUUUAUUUUUUAUCAAGGAUAGUCUAAGAUAAUUAUGAAUUUCGAGUGAAAUGUAUUAGAUAAAUAAUGGUGGUAUAUUAAUACAAGUCCAAAAUGUUAUAGUUCUUCAAAAAGUUGAGAAAUCAAUAAGAAGGGAUGAGUUUGAGAUUUCAAAUAAUUUUUGUUAUAACAAGAUCAUGAGAAAUAAAUAAUAUAUAUGACAUUAUCGUAAGCUUGAGAAUGAUAUGAAGAAUGUAUACUUUGAAAUAGGUAUCUCGAACAACAUAACUUAAUUUCGAGAAUGAAAUUAUUUUAAGGAGGGGAGAAUGUAAUAACCCAGAUUUAAAAAAAAAAAAAGGGGGA
rnacentral:lncRNA from 1 species